AUUUAGGUAGUUUAUAAUAAAAUAUUGAUUUGUGGUAUCAAAGUUAUACAUUAUGUAUCUUAAAUA
rnacentral:tRNA from 2 species